rnacentral:rRNA from 1 species
CGGACGAGUGGCGAACUUUUGGUUUAUAUAUCGGAACGUGCCCUGUAGUGGGGGAUAACUAGUCGAAAGAUUAGCUAAUACCGCAUACGACCUGAGGUUGAAAGUGGGGAACCGCAAGGCCUCAUGCUAUAGGAGCGGCCGAUGUCUGAUUAGCUAGUUGGUGGGGUAAAGGCCUACCAAGGCGACGAUCAGUAGCUGGUCUGAGAGGACGAUCAGCCACACUGGGACUGAGACACGCCCCACACUCCUACGGGAGGCAGCAGUGGGGAAUUUUGGACAAUGCGCGAAAGCCUGAUCCAGCAAUGCCGCGUGUGUGAAGAAGGCCUUCGGGUUGUAAAGCACUGUUGUCCGGAAAGAAAUGGCUCUGGUUAAUACUUUUUUGUCGACGACGGCACCGGAAGAAUAAGGACCGGCUAAGUACGUGCCAGCAGCCGCGGAAAUACGUAUUUUCGCAGUGCUACUCGAUAAUUACUGAUCGUCAAGCGUGUGGGGGGGGGCCGUGCAAGACUGGAUGUGAAAUCCACGAGCGUAACGUUGCUACUUGCGGUGGUGACUUCACGGCUAGAGUGUGUUAACAGGAGGAAAGAAUUCCCCGUGUCGCAGUUGAAAUGCGUUGAGGUGGUGGAACGAACGACCGAUGUCGAA